UGCCCCUCCGCCGCCGCUCCUCCCGCCGCCCCCUGUUGCCGCUCCUCGGUGGCGCAGUGACCUGCUGCUUGCCAUUUUUUUUCUUUUUUUUUGUUUUUCUGGUAGACAUAAAUUUGCACCAUGUAUUUGUGUUUGAGACAAUAUACACUGAUAAGUGUAAUAAAAAACUUUGAUAAACUGGGUUAAAUUCAUAAGGGUAUAAAUGGAACUUUUGUGUUGAGUU
rnacentral:sRNA from 1 species